CCUACGGGAGGCAGCAGUGAGGAAUAUUGGUCAAUGGACGAGAGUCUGAACCAGCCAAGUAGCGUGAAGGAUGACUGCCCUAUGGGUUGUAAACUUCUUUUAUAUGGGAAUAAAAUGUUCCACGUGUGGGAUUUUGUAUGUACCAUAUGAAUAAGAAUCGGCUAACUCCGUGCCAGCAGCCGCGGUAAUACGGAGGAUCCGAGCGUUAUCCGGAUUUAUGGGGUUUAAAGGGAGCGUAGGUGGAUUGUUAAGUCAGUUGUGAAAUUUUGCGGCUCAACCGUAAAAUUGCAGUUGAAACUGGCAGUCUUGAGUACAGUAGAGGUGGGCGGAAUUCGUGGUGUAGCGGUGAAAUGCUUAGAUAUCACGAAGAACUCCGAUUGCGAAGGCAGCUCACUGGACUGCAACUGACACUGAGGCUCGAAAGUGUGGGUAUCAAACAGGAUUAGAUACCCCUGUAGUC
rnacentral:rRNA from 1 species